rnacentral:rRNA from 1 species
AGAAUCAACGCUGGCGGCGUGCCUAACACAUGCAAGUCGAACGCGAAAGUCCCGAAAGGGAUAAGUAGAGUGGCAAACGGGUGAGUAACACGUGGGUGACCUGCCUUCGAGCGGGGGAUAACGUCCCGAAAGGGACGCUAAUGCCGCAUAACAUCCUGCCUUUUAAGAGGUGGAGAUCAAAGCCGGGGACCGCAAGGCCUGGCACUUGAAGAGGGGCCCGCGUCUGAUUAGCUAGUUGGUGGGGUAAUGGCCUACCAAGGCAACGAUCAGUA